UCCCUGGUAGCUUAAUUGGCAGAGCGCCUGACUGUUACUCAGGAUGGUGCAGGUUCGAAUCCUGCCUGGGGAGCCA
rnacentral:tRNA from 1 species